rnacentral:lncRNA from 1 species
AAAUGUCCAAUAACUAUGUUUAAGAUUAUAUAUAUAUGAAUGAUAAUAUGAAGAGUUGAAGACAAACAAGAUGUCAUUUAUUCAUAUAUUAAAAAAACAAAAGUAAACAUGUCAUUCAAACAUUUAUAUUUAGACCCAUUUAAACUUAAGAAAAAUUCAGUCCCAUUUUGAUUUCAAACAAAAAACAAAUAGUACUCUAAGUUUCCAAACUAUAGUGGUCAAUGUUAAUUACAACUACCCAACCUUAAUACUAAACCAGAUCUUAGUUAAUUCUAAUUGAGAAUUCAUCACGUUAAAGAAUUAAAAUUAAGUUAUUGCUUUGUUGUCUUAAAUAUUUUAUAAUUUCAUUAUUUGGUAGGUAAAACUUAUGAGGAAACGUUAAAUUGCAUAUUUUAGCAUUAUUCGGCCUCCAUCAAUCUUAUUUAAAAGAGUGUGAAUAUUUUGAAUUCGAAAAAAGAACAAUUUAAAUGAAUGAAGAUGUUUUGAAUAUUAAAUAACGUGAUUGCGCCUACCCUUGUUGUUUUUCAUCCAAAAUAAUUAAUAAUUAAAAAAAAAAAAAGAGCCAUCAGCAAUUAAAAAUGCUUUAAUGGCUGUCAUUGUUGUAGAUUAUAUACUAUAUUUGCAUAAUCAGUCCCUUUCAGUGGAUAGUAUAAAAUCCAUCCAAGACAGCGAAGUAGCUAUUCAUUCUAACUUUAAGAAGCUUACCGUCUCAAUCAAGUUAAUGAGCGGCUAUUUUUCAUCUCUCGACACACAUACUUUACUUAUUGUUUAUUCGCAUGUUCAUAAACCCUAAUUUGUUGUCAUUAUAUUUGAUUCAUUGCUCCCCUCCAUACGAGGGGAAAUGUGUUUGAGUUUGUCUUUAUAAAUAGAAGGUUAACUUCGUAUGUAUUUAGUUUAAUUUUCAAAGAUAUGUUCGGUAGACAAAUGUAUGAAUUCAGAUUGUCGAAACAUAUAUCAUAAUAGUAUUUACAUGAAUUUAGACUCUUCAUAAAUUCAAGUUAUGUUAUAAUCAUAUGGUUUUAGAUUUUCAACAGUUAUCCUUCUAUAAUCAUAGUUGUAUGAAGUUAGACUUCGGAUAGAUUCUUGAUUGUAAUAUAUUUGUUAGUAAAUUGUAAUAUAAUAAUUUAAGAAUAUUAAACUCAAAAAAAAAAAGUACUUGUCUCUUUGUAUGGGCAAAUAGUACGUGUUCUAUAUUAUUGUAGUUGUAUUUAUUUUAUUUUGGUAAUGUCACACUUCCUUAAUUUAAAGUAACGAGAUAUUCAUUUAUUGAGUGGAAUGAUGAAAUAGUUUAAUAAUUAUUUACAUAGGUUAUAAAAUUUCACCAUCUAGCCAAUCAAACCGGGAUUACAAGAUACAAUAACAAAUCUAUAGAAUAUAUUAAGAUCAAUUUUGAAUCAAUUUAUUAAUUAAUCCGAGCACAACGGAGCAUGUAUGCAAGCAUGGUCCUAUUUUCGAAAAUUGUCAAGAUCAAUCCUUUUUGUGCUUAGCUAAUGAAUGGCUAGCAUUUGCGUCACAUUUUUCACCUCAUCAUUGUUGGCUUUCCGGGCAACAUAUGGUGCAUGCCAUGUCGAAGAUAUAACCCAAAAAGUUAGCCCCCCAAGAAAAAAAAAAUAAAAUUGGUUGAUACCAAAUUAAUCUUUCACAUCUUUGAUGUCACAGAAUUUUUCAAUAAUAAUAGUUUUUCAUGUCUCAAUUAACCCACGUAAGAAUUUCUUCAACACUUGCACAAUAAAAUUUAUUGAUAAUAUAUUUGUUAUUUUUAAACACUCAAUCGUUUUUUCUUUGAUGUCUAUAUGAUUAUUGG